rnacentral:tRNA from 1 species
GCCUUUGUGGUGUAGUGGUCAGCACGCUUGACGCGUAACCGAGAGAUCUGUGGUUCGAUUCGCGGCGAAGGCG